GUCAUUUGGUACCACAAAACACAAACAAUUUCUGCGUGUUGUGAAGAAGCGCAGGCUGAGGAGGGGCCUGUGACUGGGGAGGCUCUGCGUGCACCCAUGUUCCCGCAACAAAACAUAAAUUAUUGUAGUAAUCUGACAUCAAGAGCUGUGACAGUGAAAACCACUUCUUACACAUGUUCUAACAAGAAUCUGAUUAACGUUUUUGUGGAUGUGGAAAAUAGCUUUUUUUAGUCAAACUGGCACUAUUGCUGAAUUUAGAAUGAUUUCCUUAUGCACUAGAUAGCAAAAUGUGAAUCAUGUCUGUGAAAACACAUGAGAAUAAAAUGUCAUCUUUGUGUAGCAGAAAACAACCAGGAGAGAGCUUUUGGGACAUAAAAUUAUCAAGUGAUUGACAAUAUCAAGAUGAUAAUUCACCCCAGCUACGAGAGCACAUUUCGGUAAGUCACCCGUGCCUGCGGGCCUCUGACUACCUUAACAAAGAAAGACUAAACCCGUGAUUUAUUAUAGACUGGGCAACAUGCCGAAUUAGAUCCUUGAAUGGGAGCAAACACAGCUUUACAUCCUUUUGUUCAGAACAAAAACAACCUCCAGGUCAACCAGAAAGCUAGAAAGUAUCAGAGCUGUAGAAACAACUGUUUUAAAACUGAAAAUAAAGAAUUAGAAAACAUCUCCUCAUCCCUAAUCGCUUUUAUCCAGCAAGAUAGAAUUUUCCCUUCCAUUUCAAAGCGCCGCCAGCGGACUGCGCCUUACACUCUAACCUCCUGGGAAAGUGGGCCCACCUUCCUGGUAUUGUUACGCCUUUUCUGCUUGCCCUUUCGUUUUCCAUAUAGCAUUGCCUAACAUAUUAAACCAUGUUUUUCAGAAGAAAAAUCCAGUUCUCUCAGAACGUGGCCUCUUUCCUGAGGUGGACACCUUUGGGCCUUUCUCCUGCCUUUGUCGCUUCUCACUCUUUAUUGAGAGUCGCCGUUCUCAUCUCUGUAACAGCACCGCCUCUCUCUUCACUGAAUGCCAGUAGUUUCCAAAUUUGUCAUCUUGACAUUUCUGUCAUCUGUUCUCUUCACAGCUAUUUUCAACGGACCAUCCCCUCCUGCCGGUCUGUCCCCCUACUCAAUUUUAAUGAAAGCACAUUUUUUUCCUUCCUCUUUUCUUGGUGCUACAGCCACUUCUUUAGAUGCCAGCAUCUGUGAGAGCUCCAAAGCUUUCCCAAAAUGUUCUUUUGCGUUAACACUCUUCUUCAUUUGACAUGACAGGGGCACUCUUGGCCAUUAUGAAAUUAAGGGGAAACAGCAAGCUAAUUUUUGUAUCUCUGCUUCUUGUACCUUUUUACAGUGAAGUAACAGAGGCUAUAAUUCAGAAAGCUCUCAGGAAUCACUGUUUGCUGGCUGAAGAGAGGUUUCAAAAAGCUGCACCAACUGACGGACCCAACACAAGCUUUAAUAAUUAAAAUGGGAGGCGGAGCCGGUGUUGACCAA
rnacentral:lncRNA from 1 species